GAGUUUGAUCCUGGCUCAGAUUGAACGCUGGCGGCAGGCCUAACACAUGCAAGUCGAGCGGUAGAGAGAAGCUUGCUUCUCUUGAGAGCGGCGGACGGGUGAGUAAUGCCUAGGAAUCUGCCUGGUAGUGGGGGAUAACGCUCGGAAACGGACGCUAAUACCGCAUACGUCCUACGGGAGAAAGCAGGGGACCUUCGGGCCUUGCGCUAUCAGAUGAGCCUAGGUCGGAUUAGCUAGUUGGUGAGGUAAUGGCUCACCAAGGCGACGAUCCGUAACUGGUCUGAGAGGAUGAUCAGUCACACUGGAACUGAGACACGGUCCAGACUCCUACGGGAGGCAGCAGUGGGGAAUAUUGGACAAUGGGCGAAAGCCUGAUCCAGCCAUGCCGCGUGUGUGAAGAAGGUCUUCGGAUUGUAAAAGCACUUUAAGUUGGGAGGAAGGGCAGUAAAUUAAUACUUUGCUGUUUUGACGUUACCGACAGAAUAAGCACCGGCUAACUCUGUGCCAGCCGCCG
rnacentral:rRNA from 1 species